CGGGUGAGGAAUACAUCGGAAUCUACUCUGUCGUGGGGGAUAACGUAGGGAAACUUACGCUAAUACCGCAUACGACCUACGGGUGAAAGCAGGGGAUCUUCGGACCUUGCGCGAUUGAAUGAGCCGAUGUCGGAUUAGCUAGUUGGUGAGGUAAUGGCUCACCAAGGCGACGAUCCGUAACUGGUCUGAGAGGAUGAUCAGUCACACUGGAACUGAGACACGGUCCAGACUCCUACGGGAGGCAGCCAGCC
rnacentral:rRNA from 1 species